rnacentral:rRNA from 1 species
UCCGUAGGUGAACCUGCGGAAGGAUCAUUACCGAGUGCGGGCCCUCUGGGUCCAACCUCCCAUCCGUGUCUAUCUGUACCCUGUUGCUUCGGCGUGGCCCCGGCCCGCCGAAGACUAACAUUUGAACACUGUCUGAAGUUUGCAGUCUGAGUUUUUAGUUAAACAAUAAUUAAAACUUUCAACAACGGAUCUCUUGGUUCCGGCAUCGAUGAAGAACGCAGCGAAAUGCGAUAAUUAAUGUGAAUUGCAGAAUUCAGUGAAUCAUCGAGUCUUUGAACGCACAUUGCGCCCCCUGGUAUUCCGGGGGGCAUGCCUGUCCGAGCGUCAUUGCUGCCCUCAAGCACGGCUUGUGUGUUGGGCUUCCGUCCCUGGUAACGGGGACGGGCCCAAAAGGCAGUGGCGGCACCAUGUCUGGUCCUCGAGCGUAUGGGGCUUUGUCACCCGCUCCCGUAGGUCCAGCUGGCAGCUAGCCUCGCAACCAAUCUUUUUAACCAGGUUGACCUCGGAUCAGGUAGGGAUACCCGCUGAACUUAAGCAUAUCAAUAAGCGGAGGAAAAGAAACCAACAGGGAUUGCCUC